rnacentral:rRNA from 1 species
UACGGAGGGAGCUAGCGUUGUUCGGAAAUACUGGGCGUAAAGCGCAUGUAGGCGGCGCAGCAAGUCAGGGGUGAAAUCCCGGGGCUCAACCCCGGAACUGCCCUUGAAACUGCAGUGCUAGAAUCUUGGAGAGGUCAGUGGAAUUCCGAGUGUAGAGGUGAAAUUCGUAGAUAUUAGGAAGAACACCAGUGGCGAAGGCGGCUCACUGGCCCGGAACUGACGCUGAGGUACGAAAGCGUGGGGAGCAAACAGG